UUAACAAAGAAGAAACAACAUGAUUUAUUUAACCAUAAAUAGGAAUUUUCACCACAACAGCUAUAUAAUUUCUCCAACAGCAUACAUAUAGCAAAGCUUUCACACCUAUGAGACCUGGGACCACACUGUAAAACCUGACCAAGUACUGUGUUACCAGAAAAACAAAAUCCCUACUAUUGUCACACUUUUCAAACUUGUAAGAUUGCUAACCCUCCGGGUUAUUCCUCUGGUUGGAUGCUAAUCAAAUCUUUGAAUGAAAUUUUCCGCUAAGUUGAAAAACAACAGAAAUAAUAUAUAUAAUACAAUGUAGAGUUCUGUAAUAUCUGAAUCAACCUAGUGUGUGCUUGAAAGGGGGGUACAUUUGAAAAAUAAGGAAGCAACAACCAAGUGUCAAACUACAAUCAAUUUAUCUCCAGAUGAAUAAAUUAGUAAGCUCGGAUUCAUACAAAAAAUAGAUUGGCUAUAUUCUGUAAGCUGUUUUCUGCCAAGAAAAAGUGUGAGAGUUUCAGCAUUGUUUCAAAACUGUAAUUGAUCAGCGGCAAGUUCACUGCAUAAUUAGGAUGCAGAGGUGAUGCUGAUUAGUGCAUGUCCGUACUGAUUGUACCUGGCUAUAGUACGUUGGUAGUACUAAUGGAUACCCAUAAUACCAAUCAUGGGUGACAUUGGAUUCUGACUAAUUGCUGAAGUUUGGCUGGAAGUGCAAUGGAGUACUUUACCCAAUUGAUACAACAUUUGGUUAAGCCUAUCAGUAUGAAAAUUAAUAGUGCGUACCAAGCAGCAAUUCUAAAUUCAGCAGUCAAAGAAAGUGUUUAGACAUGCUAAAUUAAGUCUGCACACUUUAUUUGUUAGCAUACGCGCUAAUUAGACCGAAGCGCGCGCGUCGUGCAAAAUCCACCGUAAUGAUAACUGGUCCAUGUGCUUCGCCAGGCCCUCGCUC
rnacentral:lncRNA from 1 species